rnacentral:rRNA from 1 species
UACGGAGGGGGCUAGCGUUGUUCGGAAUUACUGGGCGUAAAGCGCACGUAGGCGGACUGUUAAGUCUGGGGUGAAAUCCUGGGGCUCAACCUCAGAAUUGCCUCCGAUACUGGCAGUCUCGAGUGCGGGAGAGGUGAGUGGAAUUCCCAGUGUAGAGGUGAAAUUCGUAGAUAUUGGGAAGAACACCAGUGGCGAAGGCGGCUCACUGGCCCGUAACUGACGCUGAGGUGCGAAAGCGUGGGGAGCAAACAGG